UCUUGUCACUUUUGACAGUUACUAUUUUCUUUUUUCUGUUGAAAACUUUAGCCGAAAUUGUCUGAACUGUUUGAACUGAAAAAGUCUCAAGAAGUUUCUUUUAAGUAUCCAAAGAACUCCCAGCGCAGAGGCUGAAGCCAAAGGAGACAUGAUGGUUUUGCAGUGCGAGCAGAUACAAUGCGAUAGCAAGAAGGCGGACACCAUGGAAAUGGUAGCUGCAGCAAGAAAUACACAAACUGCUGUAAAUUAGGCCCACAAUGCCAGAUGAAUGGCAUUCAUAGAAGCAGGACUUGAGUUGUGGAAAAAUGUAGAUAGUAUUCCUAAUCGUAAUUCAUUAAUGAAUCCUACUUAAUAUAACAAAAACAUGUCUUUAAAUGCAUCAACAUGGUACCUAAGUUAUAUACUUUUUUCUAGGCUCUUGAGAAAAAGGAGGAAUAGUUCUAAUUAUGUAAUAACUUGAUUGUUACUGAAUGAUUAUGAGAAUACUCAAAGACUUAUAUGGGAAAUAAGGCUUUUAUCAUUAAUAUUAUUAGUUUUAUUAAAGCUUUGUUGUUUUCCAAGAUGAUUUAGUCAGCAGUGGAUAUCUGACUUUAGAGAACAUAUACUUAGGUAAUUUGGUUAUUCUAGGAAAGAGACUUAAAUAAACAAACUGUGAUUAAUUUGUUGUUUAAAUAAAUAUAAAGUGAAUGUGUA